rnacentral:lncRNA from 1 species
GGGGCGCAGCCGGGACCGCGGGUGCUGAGGGGGAAGAGGACGGAAGUCAGCCGCGGGGCACGCGGGGAACACUAACCCGAGAGGAAUAGGAAGGCAAUUCAAAUGAAUGGAGGAAAUGGCAGGAACAGACUUUUUCACUAUCAAAAAGGUUUCAAGAAGAAUAAAGAAAAGAACUGUUGGGAAUUAUAUUCACAUGAAAAAGGCAUUAAAACCACAAGUACAUUUGAAUAACUGUCUUCAGAGAGGCGAGGAUGCUUUCAUACUAAGUGCCUUAUUAAUGAAAGGAAACGUUGGAAAAUGUCUUUCCCAGCCAGUUCUCUCACUUUUUUAUUCCUAUUUUUA